GGCACAUGUGGGUAUGAUACUCGGUGAUGGAGUUCCAUCACAGUGUGUAUGUGUGUUUGUCAGUGAAGGUGUGUGUAUGAGUGUGUAAGUGUGUGUAUGCAUAUCUGUCAGUGUGUAUGAGUGAGUCAGUGUGUGUAUGCAUGUCUGUCAGUGUGUUUAUGCGUGUCUGUCACUGAGAGUAUUUGUCUGUCACUGACAGUGUGUGUCUGUCAGGGAAUGUGCAUGUCUGCCAGUGUGUGCCUGUCAUCUAGUGUAUGUGUGUCUGGCAGUGAACAUGUG